ACCCGCUGAAUUUAAGCAUAUCAUUAGGCAGAGGAAAAGAAAGCAACUGCGAUGCCGUUAGUAAUUGCGAAUGAAACCGGCGAAGUACGUAUGAAGGAAACUGAUUGUGUGUCAGUGAUGUGCUGGUGCGGCAGUAGCAUGCGAAGACGUGUGCGUCAUGUGCAAGUGAAAUCUUGUGCCAAGCGGGUGACAGUCCCAUGCCGGUGCACACGAUCUCGAGCAGUGCGCUGCACACGGUGUAUGCACUUUGUAAGUGGUGCAUCGCUUAGGUGGUAACCAUCACCUACUACUUAAUAUUGAAUUGAUAUCAAUAGCGAACAAGUACCAUGAGGGAAAGAUGAAAAGAACUUUGAAAAGAGGGUGAAAAUCACAUGAAGUCGGUGUACUCUAUUGAUUGUGUUUGGUAUGUGCAAUCGCUUGCAGGCGAGGGAAACACAGCUGCCCAAAGCUACGGUUUACCGUCACCUUCGCAUGCCUUUGCACUCUCCUUAACCUGCAGCCCAUGCUUGUUUCGGCGUGUAGCAGAGCAUGUCCCCAUGGAUGCGCUCUGGCACAGCUGAAAUGCGAGGAGCGGCAGGAGCUACACCUCACGGUGCCAGCAGCGCUACCGAACACAACUGCCCGUCUUGAAACACGGACCGAGGAGUCUAGCAAUGCAGCGAGCACUAUGCAGAGUACAGCAACGUGCGCAAUGAAAGUGAAAACUGCCAAUACGUGCGGCAGUGGCCGACAAUGUCGCUUCGGUGAUGUCGUUUGAGCUGGAGUGGAAGUGCUAGGACCCGAAAGAUGGUGAACUAUGCCUGGGUAGGGAGAAAACAGGGGAAAUUCUGUUGGAAGCUCGUAGCGAUACUGACGUGCAAAUCGUUUGUCAAACCUGGGUAUAGGGGCGAAAGACUAAUCGAACCAUCUAGUAGCUGGUUCCCUCCGA
rnacentral:rRNA from 1 species